rnacentral:tRNA from 1 species
UGCGGUGUCGCCAAGCGGUAAGGCAGCGGACUUUGAAUCCGCCAUUCCCAGGUUCGAAUCCUGGCACCGCAGCCA